GACCAGAAGGGGAGGAGCCUGGCUCCACCCCUCCUAGACACCAUUUAAGGGCUGACUCCCAAGGGGGAAGGAUCUCUAUCUAGAGAUCCUCCCUCUUGGAGCCCUUUUGUGAGCCCAAGAUAUGGCUCUUAUUCCCAAUAUGCAUACGCCUCUUCCCUCAAGAUCUCCUGGGUGCAGGCAGGUGAUCAGCACAAUAUGACUCACAACAGUGGAAGACUUGAAGUCAGCAGCAUCCUUCAAGAAGAUUGGACUGGUUUUCAGCUGGGUAGGCUUCUGUCACUGUUGAAGCAAGAAGAUGAAGCAGCGUCCUGUGAAACAGCAGAGUGCCCUGAGGAAGGAAGCUGAAACAUGAAUAGGGCUGUCAUCCCAUACAAGUUGCCUCUUGGCAAGGCUGUGAAGAUGAUGAAUGAUUCAGUGAGACUAGUUGAAUUUAUCCAAGGGAUUUACAAGCUGGUACAUUUUGCUGGACAAGGUAAGAUGUUGGAUGCAUUUUGUUGCAGAUAGAAUCGUUCUUUCUCUCCUGUUUCAAAAUUCCUCAUAGACAGAUCAGCUGGUCAAGCUUCCAUGUCUCAUCUUGACUUUGAAGACAGUCACCAUCUUUGACUGCUGAAUUUCUGAGUAAAAAAUAAUAUAUCGCCAAAAAGAAAACUGCAAACCAACAAGCCCUGCAUCACAAUUGGUAGUGACUGCCACACAAGGAGAUGGUGUAUAGAAGAUGAAGAAAAAAAAAGCAACAACAAAUGAGAUGGUUUCACUUCUUCCUUAGGGAGAACAAGAAUUUACAGACAUAGAAGAAGCACCACUCCUAGUACCACAGAUGCUCUAACAAGGACUCAGGUGUAUCACUUGCUUCAUGUUUUUGAACAGAUUGCUAACUGUAUUCUAAACCUGAACCACCUACUGAAGACCUGCAGGAAAAAAAAAAAAAAAAAAAGUGGAAGAAUUGUGGAUAUCCUAAUUUGAGAGGAGGUUAUAGCACAAUAUUAUUAAGAUCAAACUGCCUCUUGCCUCAAAUCAAGAAGAAAACCACUCUUCUUUGACUAAAGCCAGUUCAGGAACAUUUUCUUCUGUCAAAACUUUCAGCCUGUUCUUCCAAGACAUGUAGAGUCAAAGAAAUGGUCUCACCACCUCCAACCCCAGUGCAGACCUCUUGGUCAGCCUUGUCUGAGAUGACUUAGCAUGGGGUAGUGGGAACUCUUAUCUGGCUCAGUGCUCCUGUUGAUGGUGGAUGAAAUGUUUAUUGUGUUGUUCAUCACAGAGAUCAAAAUGGCUUCUGGACUUUGUGCUGGUCUGUAAGUACAGUUGGGAAUGAACUUUUUACUGCAGGGUAGCAUCUAAUAUUCAGGUAUAGUGAAUACCAUUUGCUUUUGCCCAUCACUGAUGAAAAUUUUGUCCAUCAUUACAUAUAUUGUACUUUGUAAGCCACAGUUUUCACCAUGCUCCUUCUCCACGGUGUAGACAAAACAGAUAAUUCCUCUGAGGUUUAUUCCUAUGCCUGCCUCUUUACAAGUAAAUGCUCUCCUUGCUCUUGUCCUCUUGACAGCAUUGAAAGUUGCUCUGCCAAGAAUGCAGACCGUGGAAGGUUUCACAUGACAAUCAACCUGCAGAGAAAGACAGAACAAAUUGCUUCUUGACGUAUUGGUGCUAUCACCUCUUAUGAAGCAGUAAAUUGCCUUGUAGACCAGGUGAUGUGGAAGUGCAUCUAAAACAUAGAAGCCAGCCAAAUAUAAAGGUCCUCUUUCUUGUCAAAGAUCCAAGAAGGUCUGGCAUCUGCCUCAGUAUCUAAAGCAAAGACUUCCUAUGUACACGGAUGUCAAGCAGUAGAUCUUUGAUGGUGUCUCAGUAGCUGGAGGCAAUGCAUCUGUCUGCUGACUUUAAGUUGUUGCUUUUGCUGAUUUACCUGUUAGCUCCAGCUCUGAAGAAAAGCAGCAUGGCUUGCCUGACACUCUUGGUACAGAAGCUUCUCCAGCAGAGGUUCCUGCCAAUGAGAGACGAGAUCAGCUCACAUCAGAGGGAGGUCACUGGAUUCCUUGAAAAGAAGAGGUGGCUGUGCGUGUCUUCCUGUCCCUAUGCUUUCCUAAGCUACAGGGUAGCACUGAUCUUCCUCAGCAAGUUCAGUGCCUUGAAGCAACAGGAUCCCUGCCAGCCCACCAGGAUAGUGACAUCUGUGCUCCUGCAUACCAGUGUUUGGGAAGUAGGCAUGAUACCUGACAUCCAGCACAGUCAGGAACGAGCCAAAUCAAGAUGGGAAGGAGAGAAACUCUGGAUCUAUAGAGUAAGUAGCCUUAGUUGUUCCAUGUAUGCCUGGCUAAUCUGUCAGUAUUAAGGAAGACACUUGAAUGUUGAAGGAAAACAGAAAGCAAAGAAAAAAUCCCAGUGUCCAAGCGCAUUCUCUUGUAUGCUAUAUGAACAUAUAGUGGGAUUGCCUGGGAUUGGCCUCCCUGGAGGUAUUCAAGGCCAGAUUGGAUAUGGCCUGCCCACAGCAGGGAGUUGGGUCUCAAUAAUCUUUAAGGUCUCUUCCAACCUAGACUAUUCUAUGAUUCUAUGGUUCCAUGUAAAUCAUAGUAUUUUGUAGAAGUUUGUUUUUUCACCAUUUAUGGGGAAAAUUCAAGGUACUGUUCUCAUAAUGAUGAAAUAUUUCACAAUUAUGAGUUGCUUAAGGUAUUGUAAAUGAAUGCUAUGAGCUAUGUGUGUGUGAUAUUUGACAUAUUAAGGAUGCACUAUUGCAACACAGAAUGUCAUAUAAAACCAAAGGGAAGUAAUUCAGAGCAAAAUAUUUUAAAUGAUCUUGUACUGAUUUUUUGUAUAUUUUUUUUUCUCUCUCUUUUUUUUUUUUUUUUAAGGAUUUACAGUUGCAGGAAAUGAUUUUUCCAGGAGUAGCUCUUAUUCUAACUAGGAAUUAGAAUUAUUGAAAUGUUGAAUGGCCUGCAAACAAAAAUUUCAGUUCCCAGCUGACUCUGUCCACUAGUUUAUCAACAUAUUUUUGGACUCCACUGAAACAAUCCACGGCAAAGACAACAGAUAGCCCUAGGAAUUUGUGCAGGCUAUUGAGUCUUUCCAUUGUGGGCUGCUGGUUCAAAUCCUAGUGGACCUGUAGGGGAACAAGGAAAAGCUGAUACCAUGACUUUAGCUGUGUGGUAUGAGUUUUCCUCCCUGGGUAUAGGUGUCAGCAACAGAAUUAGCAUUAAUUAGUCCACUUUGAAAUUUCAGCCAAGGUUUGACAUGGCAAAGUGGGGAAGCCUACUGUGCUGCAGACUGAGCUGUGCUUGCUCUGUGGAUGAAAAUAUAGCUUCCCUUUUCCAGGUCCAGUCCAGGCACUUUUCAUUAAUACUGUCACUGUGAAGCCAUAGGGAAAGCUAAGAGAGCUGCUUAAUAACUAGCAAGAACAAUAGAAGAGUAUCAUCAGACUAGGUAAUUGGUUAGAGAUAGUACCCUGGGAAGACAAGGACUAAAAGCAGUGAACUGCAGCCAGCCACACAAUCCAAGGUAACAGGCAGUGAGCUCUGGAUUAGCAACCAAGGCAACUUUAAUAAUUUAACUGUAGCAUUCACAGUAAUUUAACUAUGCUAUCCAGAACACAAAGCUAAUGGUGAUAUAGUGAAUGCAGGUAAUAUUCAGAAAGUUUGUUAAAUGCCAGUACAUAAAAGAGUCUCCGUGGAGAAGGCCAAUAUUCAGAUUUGUUGCUCUUGUUUUCUUUCUCCUUUUUCUCAGAUAGCAAGCAUUUAGUUUGUGAUAGUUAUUUGCUAGCUAGUAAGGGAAGAUGGGCUGUUUCAGAAGUUCCUAUUGACAGCCAGCUUACAGAGUGUAACAGGCUGACACAUUUUGCUGUCUUUGAAAACUGAAUAACAAAUGUUUUUGCUAUUUACAAGCCAGAAAUGAAUCGAUGGAUCUGAGUUAGAGAGCACACUCCCAAAACAUGCCAACACAUUUCUGCAUGCACUGCUUGCAAACUCUGCCUUCAUCCAAAUUAACAUCCUAAUUUGUGAAGGCUGCAAAAAAAAAAAAGUAUAAUUCAGAAUACAGAAUUGUUGUAGCUCAAAACAGACUCUCAAAAUUUAUUUUAUAGCUUGCCCACACACAGAGUUCUACCACUCCACUGCUGAGAAUAAAAUGGUAGAACCUCUCUCUAAGGAUUACACCCACCACUUUAUUGCUGAAGAUGCUAGCCUGAAUAAAAUCCAUGAUCGUGCUCUGUUGCAUUCUCUCACUCUGGGAAGUCAAAUUCUCUUCCAGAAGUGACAGUAUAAAAUGUCUGCUUCUUUUACAACAAUGGUGCUUUGUGUACGUAUUCAUAGGCAGACCUUUUGCUUUAAUGACAAAAAAUGGAUUUUUACAAUCCUUGACUCCCACUAGCAUUGAGGAGUCCAUAAAGUUCGGAAAAAAUGAAUUAGAUUCGAUUGUGACUCACAUGUCCUGAUUGAACCACCGCUGCAAACUCCUACUGCAGCAACAAAUCCUGCUAAUUGUGUUGGGCAAACUAACUACACAGCCUGAGCUGAAGGGAAAAUUUAAACUCCCAAAUAAUACACAUAUUUUUGAAUACAUACUGAGUGCUGCUUUCAAGUUCACAUUGUAGUGGCCUACUGAAUCAGUUCUAGCACAGAUUUGGAGGCCUGUGAAUUCCCUCUGAGCUGGAAACUAUACAGAUCGCAUGUGUUCAUCAGCUGCUGGGGUUAUUUUUCUAAGCACUCUUCAAUGUGAGUGGUAGUGAAAGAUUGUAAAAAUCCAUUUAGUACUUGACUAACUGUAGUUCUAAGCACACACUGAAGAAUAUAAUUUCCAUUGCCACUGAAAGCAUGUGUUUGGAAGAACUGUAUCUAUGAAGCCCACCUGAAUCAUUAAGGUAGUGGUGGGACGGUGAGUGGGGGUGGGAGAGGUAUGCUCAGUUUAUAUGAAAAGAACCAUGUCAGGACAGAUUUUUGCCUAUGAGAAAUGUGUGAGGAAGGAUGUAAAGGGAAAAAAAAAAACAUCUCCAUGACAGUCCUCCCUUCCAGGGACUUUGUCUCUUGGAAGAACCUACUGGAGACAAAGGCAUACUGUGCCUUUGCACAGCUUGGGGGCCUUCACAGCUUUCAUCAUUCUUGCAGCCAUCAACCUGCCUGUAAAGGCUAAUGUUUUGCACUGCACUUGUGUAUUAGCUCUCUGACUGCAAGUCGUCACUUCAAGGAGCUUACACCUCACACCAUGCUUCACGAGCACACCACAGCUGAGUUUCAGUGCUGGAUCUUACUAUUUUAAUUAGAUUGCUAAGUACACUGUGGAUGUUGCUGCUAAACUUAUGUUGACCACAGCAUACACAAAGGUAACCCCGAGCAUCCAGGAUCUAAGAGACAAAAAAAUAGUCAGCCCUGUAGUGGGGUUAAAAGGAAGCUAGAUUUGUCUUUGUUCCACAAAGUGUAGCAUAAACUGCAUAAUUAGUCAUUUUGGCCUGAAGCUUUAUCUACAUGACAAUGUAGCACUACUAUUAGUAAUAGCAAUCCAAAGCAUCUUUUCUGAGUUGACAAAAAUAUUAGGUAUGCUAUUUAUAGCAACCAUUGCACACACUGACAUGAGAAAUAAUUGUUACUACAACAUCCCGUUAGUGUUAUUUUUGUAUUCUGUUCCAAUUUGUAUAUAAAUGAAACCUAUGAACAUUUCCUGCACUGACCUCAUGUCUUUGUGUAGAUGGGCUUUAGACCAGAUCCAAGGAAGUGCUAAAUAAUCAUAUAAGCAGCAAGAACAAAUUCAUGGUUGAGCACCAUUAUUCAUCAUGGUGUAAUAUGUGAUCACUGAGCAGGCAGUGGUGAAGAGGAGGCUCAGGGAAGACCUUAGCACUCUGUACAACUCCAUGAAAGGAGGCUGUGGUGAGGUGGGGGUCAGCCUCUUCUCCUGUGUAAGUAGCGAUAGGACUAGAGGGAAUGGUCUCAAGUGCACCCGGGGAGAUUCAGCUUGGUUAUUAGGAAAAAUUUCUUCUCAAAAUGAGUGGUCAGACACUGGAACAGAGUACCCAGGGAGGUGGAGUCACAGUCCAUGGAGGUGCUCAGAAACAUUUAGCUGUGGUACUUAAGGACAUGGUUUAGUGAGAACUAUUGCUGACUAUUGCAGGUAGACGGCUGGACUAUAUCAUCCUGGAGGCCUUUUCCAACCUCAGUGAUUCUAUGAUUCUAUGAACUUUUCCAUGGAUGUGCUUGGAUGAUUUUUCCUUCUCAUUCCUCUUUGUCUCAUCCUCUCUUCUCAUUACUUAUCUUUAAGGAACAGAAACCAGUCUUGACUUGCUACUGAGAAAACUAGGUACAAGGAGAUGCCUUCUACUUUUCCCUCUGAGAACCUAUUCUCAAAGCUAAAGAAAUUGGCUCUAAAUUG
rnacentral:lncRNA from 1 species